GCUCCUCAGAAACUUCAGACACAGGUAAAUUUCUUCAGCGUGCCUCCUGCAGAACCUUCACAGUGGGUCUCAGCAGAUCUCUGGACAGAUAUGGUGGCAGGAGAAAAGAGAUAUGAAAUAUCUAGUGCCACACAGUCAUAUAACCU
rnacentral:lncRNA from 1 species